GCCCAGGUGGCGAAAUUGGUAGACGCGCUACUUUGAGGUGGUAGAGCCUUAACCGGUGUGCUGGUUCGAGUCCAGUCCUGGGCACAA
rnacentral:tRNA from 1 species